GACGAACGCUGGCGGCGUGCUUAACACAUGCAAGUCGAACGGAAAGGCCCUGCUUUUGUGGGGUGCUCGAGUGGCGAACGGGUGAGUAACACGUGAGUAACCUGCCCUUGACUUUGGGAUAACUUCAGGAAACUGGGGCUAAUACCGGAUAGGAGCUCCUGCUGCAUGGUGGGGGUUGGAAAGUUUCGGCGGUUGGGGAUGGACUCGCGGCUUAUCAGCUUGUUGGUGGGGUAGUGGCUUACCAAGGCUUUGACGGGUAGCCGGCCUGAGAGGGUGACCGGCCACAUUGGGACUGAGAUACGGCCCAGACUCCGACGGGAGGCAGCAGUGGGGAAUAUUGCACAAUGGGCGGAAGCCUGAUGCAGCAACGCCGCGUGCGGGAUGACGGCCUUCGGGUGGUAAACCGCUUUCGCCUGUGACGAAGCGUGAGUGACGGUAAUGGGUAAAGAAGCACCGGCUAACUACGG
rnacentral:rRNA from 1 species